AUUAUGGCCGAUCAGAAGAGGCCCGAAUCUCUCACUUAUUCUUCUUUAUCGCCUGUUAUUCUGUCAUGCGUUGGCCCUACGUUCAUGAGGCGGCCAGGAGUAGAUGAGUAGAUGAGUAGUCCGUGAGUAAAACGUCGAGUUAAGGAGUGGAGCAGCAGUUGUCUCCUUUUGUGAUAUUUGUGUUGUAGUGAUGGAGUGUCAAGAAUCUCAGGUAACAAAAUCCCAACAUGAUGGAGAAAAGCAGGCAGCCUUAUAUGCCCAUGAUGGUGAAACUAGUGCAGGUGAAGGAGAAAAAACAAAGUACCUCAGUGAAGGAGGACAAUGCACAGAUGCAGAUACGGAGCAGCCUUCAAAAAGAAUCGUAGAUGCAGAAAUGGCCAGCCACUCUGAUACAGCUGCUGCAGAAGGCGAAGGAGGGAAGCAGUGUGAUGAUGGAAGUGCAAGAGAAGAUGGGGAAGAAAUGGAUUCCAAAAUUAUUCAAGAAAUUCCUGCCAGACAAAAUGUUGAUCCAGAUCUGAUCAAAGAGGAGCCAUGCUCCCCUGCACAUCAAAAAGGAGAUACUAUGGUGGUAGAGGAAAGAAAUAAUGAAAAACUGGCAGAGAAAAUUGAGGAGAAUGAAGAAAGGGAGAGAAGGGAGACUGUUGCCAAUGGGGAGCAUGAGUCAUCUGAACAGCAAGAAUGUGUCGAGGAAACAGGCGACCAGGCACAGGAAGCGACGGGAGAGGAAGAAAUAAGUGAGGACAUGCAUAUGUACAAGCUAGGGAAGAUCUGUCGAAUCUGUGCGGAAAUGACAGUUGUGUUCGAUGGGCCAAAGAAGGGGGUCCCAAAGCAUGAAAUUGUUAAACACGUUAAAAAAGUUUGGAAUGUUGAUCUCUCCGACGAGGAUCCAGACAUCUUUCCUGUUAAUGUAUGUCAGUAUUGUGAGAGGAAAAUCAAAAGACUAUACCUCAAAGUGUCAAAGAAAAAGAAGUGCGAAUUCUAUAGGGAUAAACCGGCAGACUUUGUUGCACACACUGCCCAGAACUGUGUUGUGUGCAUAUUGAAAGAUGAUCAGCCUGACAGUCCUUGCAACCCAGUGACUGAAGAGGCACAGCAGGUCGAGGCAUUGGAGACAAAAGUAGAUUCCCAGGGUGAGGGGAGCAAGGGCAACAAGAUUAUUGUGCCAUCCAUGGAACCGAGAAGAAACCCUGCACGGAAGCGAGGAUGGAUAGACCAUGAUACUGACACACCAUUAUUUGUGUCAGUUGGAUGUCAGACAGAAGAGGAUGGAACAUCAGAGAACGUGACCGGCUUAGAAGAACACGAUUACACUCAGGAUGAGGCUCUCAGUCAAUUUCUUGUUAUACCAAAGAAGUUUGGGGGAAGGACCCCAUACCACAAGUUAUCUCUUACCGCUGUUAAUGCCAAAUACAUCAGACAGGACCGACUGAAGCCUCUGAUAGCACAUAUAGACAAGUUUUGCCAAGUACAGAAAGAAAAUAAAAUUGAUGCCAUGUUCUUCCUCUUGAUGGAAGCUCUGAGAGAUGCUGGAGACCGAGUAAGAGAGACACAGGUUGAAGACAUUUGGUGUCGCAAGAAUAACGUAGGAAUGUCUCUCACUGAUGAGGAGUGUCUUGCCAAGCGGAUCUUGCUCAAACAGACCAAAGAUCAGUAUAGGAAGGAAUAUAGUUAUUACAAAGAGAAGCUAGAGAAAGCAGUAUUGAAGCCCCCAUUUAUCAUUGACAAGUUAGAGAAGACAUACUUUCCGGAGUACCUUGAGUUCUUUGUGACAGAGGGGGAGACGGGGCCCAUCAUCUACCAGCAUGAGAAGCAGUCUCACCCAUCAUACUUUGCCAUCAGUGGCUCAGUAGAGAGCAGCAGCAAGCUGGACGGCAACUACGCAGGCGUUGUGGGUGCUCGUUGGCACUACUUUGAUGCUGUUGCCAAAACUCUUGAGGAGCUGGCACACUCCCUUGAGAACGAAAUUCAUGAGCUAGAUGACGAUGCCUGCAUUCAAGUCGACUUACUGGAUUAUUGUGAAGAAAAGAGAGACCUCACAAAUUUUGGUGAUAAGAAUGACUCCACAGCCACAGGCAGAUGCAGUCAGAGCAAGAUGAUGACAUAUUUCUUUGGUAUUCAAACUAUGCAGGCUGUUGUUGACAACAAAAUCCACUUCAUAUACAAAGCCAAUCCCAACAAUGUCCAGUUCCGCCCACUCAUGAAGGCCCUGGUUGCCGAGGGAAACAGUCUACGCCCCACAAUAUGCAGCAUUGAGGAAGAGAGAGCAACCAUGAGUGAAAAGGUCUUCUACAUCACACUGCCUGGAGGCACUCCUCUACGCUUCCUAGUUUAUUUUGCCAACGCAACACUUGAGAUUCGCAAGGAUUACAGGAAUAUCAGUGGCCUUACCUUGUCGUCAUUCAAGAAGGUCCCGGCUGUUAUCAACCGCUACGGCAACCUCUGCCUGGAGCUGAAGCGGAGCUGGCUAGCCACGAGCCCUCGUCUAAUCCAUGUUGGCCGUGUGACUAACUGUCGAACAAAGUGCAGCCGUUGUGGAGAACAGGGACAUAAUGUUCGGAAAUGUACAAUAAAAUCUGAGAAUGUAUCGGGAGACUCAAUCAUUCAUCACAGAAAGCGGAAAAAGCAGCGAUCGGUUCCUGCCCACUCCUACCCAGCAGCCCUCAACCCAAACACUUUCCCUCAGGUAUUUGUAAAAGAUUCCAAGAUAGUGGAUCUGUGCGACCCACAUCCGCAGCAUCCUCAGCAGCAUCCAGACCCAGAAGAGCAGGACCCUCUCGCACAACUGACCACAGUGGCUGCCCCAAUGGACCAGGGCAGUGCUGUAAUCCGCAGCGAUGAGCAGAUCCUGUGGUCUUGCCCCAGUUUGGGAGGAGGCAGUCAGCCGCUGUCAGGCUCUGCUCUCCCUACCACGCAGGUUCUUGUCCCUUCUUCGGUCUCCACCAAUACAGAAUACCAGACUGGGUCGCACCGAUCACAGGCCCAGAUGUCGCAGGGCACCUCAGGUCCUGUCUAUGUUUGGACCUACACUGUGGUCCAGCCACAGCAUGGGUCUUCUCAACAGCCAACACAGCAGCUGUCCCUCAUCCCACAGCAAACCCCCCAGCAAGGUGUGACACAGCAAUCCCAGCAGUUAUCUGUGAUUCAUCCUCAGUCAGGUCAGCAGGGCACUUCACAGGAACAAAUCUCAGUUGUGCAUCAGCAACCAGUGCAGCAGGGUGCAGCUCAGCAGAUAGCUGUUGUCCACCAGCCUACAGGACAACAGACACCCACCCAACAAACGCACCAGCUGUCUGUGAUUCACCCGCAGAGCUCCCAGCAAGCACCUGCGCAUCCUUCUCAUGUGGUCCCUCACCAGCAGCAGACAAGACGGACCUCACAGGAGCAGCAGGCUCAGCAUGUCACCCUCAUCCAGCAGCAGGCAGGACUCCCACAGAAUCAGCCUCUUACCCUGGUCCACCAGCAACCCACGACCCAGACCCAGACCUCGCAGCAGAUCAGUGUGGUGCAUCAGCCCCAGCCAUCACAGCAGCUCAGCAUUGUUCAUCAGCACCAAACCUCACAGGCAGCAGCAAACUUGGUGCACCAGCAGCCCAACCAGUCACAGGGGACGCAGCACCAGACUGAGCCUUCACAGGCACAGCAGAUUGUUCAUCCUCAGAGCUCGGAGUUACACCCAAUCAUUGGACAGUGGUGAGGAAGGAGAAGCACAUUCAAUCUACAGUGAGCCUCAGAACAGUAAUGGAAGAUGCCUUCUGUGGAUAGACUCUAAAUACUACUGGUGUUGAUAUAUUCUCAUCGUUCAAAUGCAUGAAGUCUUCCUUUCCAAUGCAGUACAACAAGCAAGCCAAUGCCAUUUGGAGUUCUGUAGCGAGUAGUCAACUUAGUUGGAGACACAAAUGACGGAAACACAUAAGGACGUAGCAUUUGUGGUUUGGUUACUGUUUUUUAUUUAUAAUUUUGUAUCAUUAUUUUAUUCAUAUAUAU
rnacentral:misc_RNA from 1 species